GCGGAGGCCGCCCUUUCCCCUCACGGGCGGUGCUGCCGCGGCGGGCGGGCGGGGCCGGGCCGGGCGCCGCCAUGCGAUUUCGGGCUAAGAUCGUGGAUGUUGCCUGCCUUAACCACUUCAGCCGUGUAGUUAACACCAUUGCCAAGUUAGCCAAGACCUGCACGCUGCGCCUGACUGUCAGCAAGGUGUAUUUCAUCCUCGCUGAUAAAGUCGGGAAUGGAGGCGUCAGUAUGUGGUGUGAGCUGUGCCAGGGGAAUUUCUUCGAUGAAUUUCAGAUGGAAGGAGUAGCUGCAGAGCACAAUGAAAUCUAUUUAGAGUUGGUGCCUGAGAACCUAUCAAGAGCAUUAAAAACCGCCCAGAGUGCUAAGGCAGUGAAGAUGAAGUUGACUAACAAACAUUGUCCCUGUCUCAGAGUUGCUGUGGAGCUACCAUCCUUAUCAAGCAGCAGUAGGAUUGUGACACAUGACAUUCCUGUGGGGGUUAUUCCUAGAAGACUGUGGAAUGACUUCAGAGAGCCCAGUGUGCCAGACUUUGAUGUCAGUAUUUACCUUCCAGUGCUGAAAACAAUGAAGAGUGUUGUGGAGAGAAUGAAGAAUCUCAACAAUUCCAUUGUGAUUGAAGCAAACUUAAGUGGAGAAAUGAACUUGAAAAUAGAAACUGACUUAGUGUCUGUAACAACACAUUUUAAAGACUUGGGAAAUCCUCCCUGGCCAUCAGAGGAUGGAUAUCAAAGUUCUCAAGACAGAGAUCUGGAAAGCAUGGCUGAGGCACGCAUAGACAUUAAGAAGCUGCAGCAGCUGCUUGCUGGGCAGCAGGUCAAUCCCACAAAAGCAUUGUGCAAUAUUGUAAGUAAAAGAAUUGUCCACUUCAUCUUGCUCCAUGAGGAUGUUUCUCUUCAGUAUUUUAUCCCAGCACUUGCCUAAAUGUUUUGGAAUCUCAAUCAUUUUCCAACCUGGGGCCUUUUCCGUGACGUCCAAAAACCUUCAUAAGUUGCUCGAGUGCUUUUGUGUGAUACGCUGUUAGGUGCAGCCAUCGGAUGGACAUUAUUUCCGUAUUUAUGAAAUUACUCAAAAUGCCUCCUCAUCUAGAAGGCCAUUUUUUUGAAGAGUUAUGUACUAUGAAAGACACAACUCUGGGGAGCUGGCAUAUUUGAGCAUUACAGGGAGCAAAACUGAAAUGUGUAUGCACUUUUGGGAUGCUUUGAGCUGUGGGGAAGGCAACGUAGCAUUUUUUUUCUCAUUGACAAACUUCGAGGUAGAACUGACCUUUGUAGCUGCUGCUGGAUAUUCAGUAUUGGACAAUGCAGCUCCAAGUUAAGGGAUCUCCGAGCAAACUGUUGUACCUCCAUGGAGCAGAAGAGCCGCCUGGAGGGUAGACAGAUUGGUAUUUGCCUGGGCAGUGAGAAAAGUCCUCCUCUACACCACAAGAUGUCUAUUGAGGCCACUUGUAUGCCUACGCUACCUUAAUUUUGCUAAGCAAGAUAUGAUAGAAGAUUUUUUUACUGUGUUGCUGAACUCUCCCUGUGCUGGUGAAGACUACGAAGCCUGCCUGGAAGAACAUAUGGAACUGUUGACUGUAUAGUUUUGAUGGUAAUUGCUUUGUUAAUAUUUACAGGAUGUGUAAUAUACCACCAUAGGUGAUGUUUUGGCUGACCAUCAUCGCUGCCUUUAAUAUCUGGUCAAGCUUCUGCGCUCCCCCUCUCAACUUGUGAUGGCAAAAUGAAUUUGUUGUUUUAGGCCAACAAGUAGCCAAUAAUUUUAAUCCGAUUAGUUGUUGGAUGUGCGGUGUGCCUUUUGGUUUGGCAUAUUGUUUGAACUGCACCCAGACUAAUGGAAUCCGUGUUGAAAUGAGUAAAUGCAAUUGGACAUUGUCCCCAGGAUUUGACUGCUGGGACCACUAUUGUAGUCCUUUUGAUUGUAGUAGUAGCCACCUUAAAUGGAAUUCAACCCAUAUUAAGCUUUCCAGUGGCAGCUGGGUAAGAUGUCCUCUUACAAGACCUAGUGGAGAAGGUUGUGAAGCAGCCAUGAGGGAUAAAACAUUUGAUCCUUGACUCCCUUUUUGCAUGUGAGACAACACCACUAGCAAAAAAUCACAUUAUUCGAGUAUACCAGUGGGCAUGGCAACACCAAAAUGGAACCCGCACACUGUUCAAAGAAUUUUGGUCUAGUAACAAUCAAAGUAGAUGGAGAUGUAAUUGUGUGUGGAAAGGUGAAAUGGGGGCUUGGAUGUGUGAAUAUUGUGACCAGUAUGGAGACAGAACAAUUGUAGGAGGACUAUUUGAACCAGGAACCACAUUAUAUUAUGAUCCACCAAUAGACUCAGAGGACUGGAAUGGUCUCUUUGAAAACGGCUACCCGAGCGUGAAAAGGGCCACUGUUUGGCGUGUGGCCAGUAUGCCUCCAAACAGCUACCCACAAAUUCAACUGGAGUGUGUUAUGUGGGGGUAAUCCAUCCCUUGUUUUUCCUACUCCUGGAGGACGGAGGUGAUGGAUUGGGUAUUAAGGUAUAUGAUGAUCUUAACCAAUUUUGGUGAUCCAUUGGUACCUCUAUAGCAGGUCGAAGUGGCCAAAUCUGAGGCAAAGAUGAGUGGACCCCUCAAUGUAUUAUACAACAUUAUGUGCCUGCCACCUGGAACUCUGAUGAGUGGAUUAACAGUGCUCAAGGACCUAUUUAUAAUCUAAAUCACAUUAUCUGAUUAAAAGCUGUCCUAGAGAUCAUUACUAAUGAGAUGGCCUGUGCCCUUGGUCUAUUGGCAGAUCAAGCCACACAAAUGCGAACUGCAAUAUUCCAACAUUGUAUGGUUCUUGACUAUUUGCUGGCCAAAGAGGGGAGUGUUUGUGGUAAAAUGAAUGAUUCUAACUGUUGUUUAAAAAUUGAUGACAACAUUAAAAUUGUUAAACAAAUUAACACAGGAAUACGGAAGCUGGCCCAAGUUCCUGUCUAGACAUGGAAAGGCUGGGACAUUGAUAUGUUUUCCUGGCUCCCUGGAGGUCCAUGGAUUAAGCGAGUUCUAUUCUAUUUGCUAUGUAGUUUUCAGUAAAUCUUUACAUGUAAAUGUUAAA